GUUCAUAUAUGUUGUUUAAUGCGUGAUAGGUAUUACCGCUUAAAAGGUGGUUUUGUAUUUAUAAUAAAAACUGAUCGUUUACAUUUAACAUAGAAUAUAAAAAUAGUUUUGUCUGGGUAGCAACAUAACUGUUGCAUAGGGUAUGUUGUUUAAUGAUAAUACUAUAUGAAAAUUCCUCGAGCCAGCUGACUUACACUAUGGAUAGUGUACAAGACAACAGUUAUAGAACAUCACGUGAUAAGGUUGAUGGAAAUGGCGAAAUAUUUAUUUACAAUAUAUUUGUUUCCAGGGGAAGAGCCUGUUACAAAGUCUGUGUCUAAAAAAAAGUAAACUCGCUCCUUGUCGGACAAAACUGAAUGUAAUUAAGUUAACUACCUAUGUACAUUAUCAGUGGAGUACUUGAAUUAAUAUCAAAUUGUAACCCGAGAUGCUGGUGCCACACCUUAUUACGUGACCACCCAGUGAGGCGUGAACACUCAGGGGCAUGAUAUACACCCUUGUGUUUGAUUUGAUAUACCAAUCAGCCGUGGACGCCCGACCAUAAAAAUGGUAUAUAUAGAUUUAACCCUAAUCAGGUAUCGUUAAAUAUCGUUAAAUCGUCGAGAACGUUCUGUCAGACGAUCAAACGAUAACUAUUCAACCAGUCGGUAAAUCACAUCGAAAACCCAAGUUCUGGUCGCAGUGAGAAGCUCUGGAUGCCUUGAGGAGGGUUCACCAGCUCUGCUUCAACAACGUUGACAUGGGACCAGUAAAGCUGCAAGACUUUGUCGGCCAGUCAAAAGUGGACGCUGCAAUCCAAGGUGAAACUUUCUUUCUCAUGGUGGGGAACACGCAUGAAGAUGUGGAUCAACCGUUUAGUGUAUUUGCAAGGGAACUUAGACAGAAGCCUGCAACAACCCGCGAUGCCCUCCUUCAAGAUUGGGGACAUCCGCACACCCACCACCAAGCUAUCAGACUUCAAGCCCUUCAUGCCUGCCCCAAGGGAAGCGACAACCCUCCCAACUAAAGUUCAAGAGGCAAUAGAGAAGAACAAUGAAAAACUGCAACAAAAUCAAAGAUCACUCUGACAAAGCACCGAAGACAAGCGUCAGUAUCAGAACAAUAAAGAAGGAGCAGCACGUUUUGCUGAAAUGAACAUAUUUUUUGUCUAAGCUAUGUGGCUGAGAUAUUGCCGAGGAUUGCAUUGCAGGAGUUUUGUACUUUGUAUGUUUUUGUUUCUUAGUAAAGCUGUGUAUUUAGAAUUGUAUAUAUAUAUACAUAUAUAAGAUGAGAUGUGCACAAUGAAAUUUAUGAAACAAUAUAUGCAGUUAUAUUGUAAAAUCUUGGUUGUGUUCUAUUUUUUUCCAUGUCUGAAGUUAAACUACUUUCAGAGUACCGUAUAUCACAUGUAGGUUGUUUCUUUGAAUUCCAACCGGGGAUUAUAUAUUUGGUUGGCCCCAUGGAAUAAUUAUGAAAUUUAUUUUUGAGAAUCACAUUCACCUUUAAUGUUGUACACUUCAAAGUCGUCAAAAGGCCAUUGAAGAUGGUCACUGAAAUUCUCAUAAUAAUUUAGAUAAUUAUAGGGUAAGCUCAAGGUUCAAUGAUUUGCAUCUGUCUAGUAUACAAAGGUAUGAGGCCAACAUGUUGUUCCAUUGUUUAAUUCGAGUGACGUCAACUUUUCUUGAUAAAUUUGGUAAACAUAAUACCAAGAUAAAUAUCUUCAAUUGCUGAAUUCAAUUUAAACUUUCCAAAGAUUGAUGGUUGAAAUUACUGCAGAAAAAAAUUCUGCCAGAAAUUUCUGUAGAAAAAAAUAAUUCUGCCAGAAAUUUCUGUAGAAAAAAAAAAUACUGCCAGAAAUUUCGGAGAAUCACAU